rnacentral:rRNA from 1 species
CCUACGGGUGGCAGCAGUGGGGAAUAUUGCGCAAUGGGCGAAAGCCUGACGCAGCGACGCCGCGUGAGGGAUGAAGGUCUUCGGAUCGUAAACCUCUGUCAGCAGGGAAGAACGGUCACUGUGCUAAUCAGCAGUGAAUUGACGGUACCUGCAAAGGAAGCACCGGCUAACUCCGUGCCAGCAGCCGCGGUAAUACGGAGGGUGCGAGCGUUAAUCGGAAUUACUGGGCGUAAAGCGCUCGUAGGCGGUAUGUCAAGUCAAGGGUGAAAUCCCCGCGCUCAACGUGGGAACUGCCUUUGAAACUGGCAAACUGGAGUGUGGGAGAGGAUAGUGGAAGUCCAGGUGUAGGAGUGAAAUGCGUAGAUAUCUGGAGGAACAUCAGUGGCGAAGGCGACUAUCUGGCACAUAACUGACGCUGAGGAGCGAAAGCGUGGGUAGCAAACAGGAUUAGAUACCCUGGUAGUC